UGGGGAAUUUUGCACAAUGGGCGCAAGCCUGAUGCAGCGACGCCGCGUGAGGGAUGAAGGCCUUCGGGUUGUAAACCUUUUUCGCUCAUGGUCAAGCCGCAGCUUUGGGUUGUGGUGAGGGUAGUGGGUAAAGAAGCGCCGGCUAACUACGUGCCAGCAGCCGCGGUAAUACGUAGGGCGCGAGCGUUGUCCGGAAUUAUUGGGCGUAAAGGGGUUGUAGGCGGUUGGCCGCGUCUGCCGUGAAAUCCUCUGGCUUAACUGGGGGCGUGCGGUGGGUACGGGUUGGCUUGAGUGCGGUAGGGGAGACUGGAAUUCCUGGUGUAGCGGUGGAAUGCGCAGAUAUCAGGAGGAACACCGGUGGCGAAGGCGGGUCUCUGGGCCGUUACUGACGCUGAGGAGCGAAAGCGUGGGGAGCGAACAGG
rnacentral:rRNA from 1 species